UGGGGGCUCGUCUAAUCGGCAGGACAACGGGUUCUGGCCCCGUCAGUGGAGGUUCGAGUCCUCCGCCCCCAG
rnacentral:tRNA from 1 species